rnacentral:lncRNA from 1 species
CUCCACUAGUCGCCUCCCGUCGCGCCUGUGUCACGGGGUAGCGGGGGCUCGGCCCGGUGGCUGGUGCCGGACUGUGCCCGCACCCCGCCGGGGCGAAGGCGGCGGUGACGCUGCCCGGCCUUUGUCGGGGCCGGCAGGGGGGUGAGCGGCCUUCCCUUUCCUGACAUGGUGUGAGGUGCCCGCCGGGUGGCUGCUCGGCGCCCCCUGGUUUCCUCAGCCCCAGCCCUCCGGUGUGGUGCUCAGCGAGGCGCUGUGGGCGCCAGGCUGGCCCCGGCUCCCCUCCUGCCGCGAUAGGCCGCUAGAGCGGCGGUCCGGCUGGCCUGGGGUCCGCGCCCGCUCCGGGUGCCUCCGGCCAGGCAGGGGCUUUGCACGGCCAAAGGUUAAAAUGAAUGUUGGUGUCCCAGAUCCGUUUGAGCUUCAAGUCUCUGAGAAGAUCAGUGGGAAUGGCCGAAGGUAUGGGGUGGUUUAUGUGCUGGUCUCAGGGUGUGGGGCUGAACUUCUCAAGUGAGGGUGAUGGGAGGCAUUAUGAAAAAAACCUUCGAAAUAGUGAGUUUAAUGGAGAGGUUGUGGUUAUAAUUUUCUUACUAUAAGAACCAGUGUGCCAUCAGUUUAGGUUGUGGGAUCCAAGUUCAUAGCAGGCAAAAGCUUGACAGUGCUAAAGAGCAGACUUGCAAAAUUUGUAGUCAUAAGACUACAUAAGACCAAAUGCAAGAGAUCUGCAUGUGGUGAAGAGGAAAUGGAGCUACUAGAAAGAGAGAGGAGUGCACUGGGGAUUGCAAUAUGCACAGGCUACACCUAGCCCAGGACAUCUCUGUGCCUAAAAGAAUACUUUAAGGCCAAAGAAUUUUAGAAGAGAGGUAUUUCCCAUUCUUGUGUUAUUUUUACUAUUACCUGGAUGUCAGCUCAUGACCACUGCAAUGGUUUGUUUUCUUUAACAUAUACAAUUUAAUUAAAUUUUUAAAAUGAAUGGUUACCACUGAUCUAAUAUGUUGUGGAGAAUAAUCCUGUAAGUGUACACUUCCAGGAGCUCAGGAACUGGAGAGAAGAACCUAUCUUCUCCGUGAGUUUUUUUGCACUGACACAUGAAAAUGGGGGAAGGUGGAGUUUCUUGCCUUCAGGACUUCCUCUUUUCUUUUCCUUCCUCUGGCAAGUAGCUGGGUUGAGAAGCCCAGAAACGUGGACUACCACUGGUCAUAAGUAUGAAGUACAAAUACUUGCUUCGAUGAAAGAUUCUCCCGCCCUUACAUAAAAAGUUCAGGUGUGUCUCACUGCUACUGAUAAUGACUUUCUCAGAAGUAGCAGAGCUUAUUCCAACAAAUAGAUAAGAAACAAUAAAAGUGCUAAAAUUAAUUAUAUGUCCCUUUCUUUGUUUUGGGGCGGCAGAGCUGGGGAAGGUUGGAAACUGUUUUCCCGACUCUGCAAGGACAACACUUCCUCAGUUCAGAUUUGGAAAACUUUGUGUGCAGCCAUUACUUAGAAAGGUCUUUCUCUUUUUACUAUGAAGAGGAAUGGCCUUGUUUGUUCUGACGGAGGCAUUUUGUUGAGUUUUUCGAUGUGGAUUGUUUUGACUCUGAUACACUGCUGUUCUUAUCUUCCCUGUUCUUUGUUAGAAGCAUACAUUAUCAUUUAAAAAAAAUCAUCUUUGCACACUGAAUGUAAAAAUGAGAUAGCCGAAAAUGAAGCAGGUCAGUCAUCUGUGUUGUUAAUAUUUGAUAUGCUGUAUUACAGCUAUAGCGAGACCACUUAGAGGAGGGGAUUUUAACAGUUCCAGACUUCACAGUUAUGUAAGGAGUUCACUGAGUAAUUA